GAUGAAGAACGCAGUGAAAUGCGAUACUUGGUGUGAAUCGCAGAAUCCCGUGAACCAUCGAGUCUUUGAACGCAAGUUGCGCCCGAAGCCAUUAGGCCGAGGGCACGCCUGCCUGGGCGUCACACGUCGUUGCCCCCCCCAUCUACUCCUUCGGGAUUGCGGGGGGCGGAUGAUGGCCUCCCGUGCGCCUCGCCGCGCGGUUGGCAUAAAUGCCAAGUCCUCGGCGAUGCACGCCACGACAAUCGGUGGUUGCGAAACCUCGGUUGCCCGUCGUGUGCGGUCGUCGCGCAUCGAGGGCUCGAAAAAAUUGCCGGGUUCCGGCUCGGCUUUCAACGCGACCCCAGGUCAGGCGGGGUUACCCGCUGAAUUUAAGCAUAUCAAUAAGCGGAGGA
rnacentral:misc_RNA from 1 species